GUCAUUGAGAAAGCAAACAGUUCUUGCUCCUUCCAUUCUACCAGACGAGCCACAAAAAAAGGACAGAUCAACAAAGCAGCCAUGAUAGGGAAUUUAUCUGAAUUUCAAGCAUCACAAACAGACCCUGUUUCUGAAGACAAGCUUCACUGGGAACUUGAAUAUGUAUAAGAAGAUGAAUGUGUCCAGGUACACAAUUCUCACCACUGAAAUGCAGCUGGAUAACAGCUAUGUCUCCUUAUGAAGGUGACUCUCUGACUCCUCAUUUUCCUUUUUCCUGCCCGAAGUGUGUUCAGAGGAAUGAUGGUAAAACAGCCAUCUUGCACCCAGGAGGGUAAGAGUCCGGCCCUACACUGAGCACGGAGGAACAGCAAGAAGGAAAGAGCCCAGGGCAACAAGGACAUUGUAAAGCCAGACUGAGAAAAAUAACCACCUAUUUGUUUGAGCCAUUGUUGUUACAUUCCUGUUACACUGCUUCUAAAAGCAAAUCCUAACUCAUACUUAUGCAAACAUAGGAAAAGGUGGCUCCCCAGAUGGUGCAGUGGAAAAAAAUCUGCCUGCCAAUGUAGGAGGCUCAAGAGUAGCAGG